rnacentral:rRNA from 1 species
CACGUAGGGGGCAAGCGUUGUCCGGAUUUAUUGGGCGUAAAGAGCUCGUCGGCGGCUUAGUAAGUCGGGUGUGAAACCUCCAGGCUCAACCUGGAGACGCCACCCGAUACUGCUGUGGCUAGAGUCCGGUAGGGGAGCGUGGAAUUCCUGGUGUAGCGGUGAAAUGCGCAGAUAUCAGGAGGAACACCAGCGGCGAAGGCGGCGCUCUGGGCCGGUACUGACGCUGAGGAGCGAAAGCGUGGGGAGCAAACAGG